GCUGGAGCGGGCAGGCAGCAAGGGCCAGGAAGGCAGGGCUCAGAAUUGGGCAGGAGCUGAAGGGGCUAGCAAAGAGGCAGUGUCUCUGCUGGACAGGAGCCCCUGCGAAGGCCUCUGACUGCAAGCCGGCGAACAGAUUUUCUGGUGUUACUCCUGUGUUCCUGAAGGCUCCUUUUAUGAGUUAUCUGUAAGUCCAUCAGCAUCAAUCUGGAGAUUUAACUCUGAAGUUCCUCAAAGGCCAAAUCUCUACUUCCCUAUACCCAGAUCAAUGUCAAGUGUUUACCUACAGCCUAGCCCGCUCCUAGGGCAUAUCGUCAGAUAUU
rnacentral:lncRNA from 1 species